GGGAGGAGGAUCAGCCUGGGAUCAGCCUGGUGGUCUUUAAGAGAGAUCCUCCCUGACUUCUCUGCCUGUCACUUCUGCUCGGAACCCCAGUCUAGCUCACUGACCGGGCAGGAUGUGGGCCGCAGCGCUGCUUCUGGUUGUCCUGGCUCCCGUCAUGCAGGUAUCUUCCAACUUCAGGUUAAUCACUAGUGGGACUGGGGAGACUGCUUCGUUCACCUGUGAUCUUACACAAGGGGCCACCUAUAUCCACUUGUACAAACAUGAGGAGGGGACGGCCCCCCGACGCCUUCUCUACUACGACAGCUACAACUCAAAGCCUGUGUUUGAAUCAGGAAUCAGUGGAGAAAAAUACAGUGUCUAUAAGCGCACAGAGAGGAGCUACACAUUUGCAAUCCUAAAUCUGAAAGAAAGUGAUUCCGGCAUAUACUACUGUGCCAUCUGGGAUAAGCACAAUUACAUAAAAAACUUCAAUGUUGGAGCAAAACUCGUUGUCACAGAGAGAAACCUUGCUGCAGACACUUCCCCCAAGCCCACUAUUUUUCUUCCUUCAAUUGCUGAAAUCAACCAUGAUAAUGCUGGAACAUAUCUUUGUCUCCUGGAGAAAUUUUUCCCUGAUGUUAUUACAGUUUCUUGGAAAGUAAAAAAUAGCAACAGAGUUCUGCCAUCCCAGCAGGGAAAUACCAUGAAGACCAAAGACACAUACAUGAAGUUGAGCUGGCUGACCGUGACCAAAAACUCUAUGGAUAAACAACAUGUAUGUGUUGUCAAACACACGAAAAAUAUAGGAGGAAUUGAUCAAGAGAUUAUUUUUCCUUCAAUAAAAGAAGUUGUCUCCGCAGUUGUCCCUACUACUGAGCCUCCUACUACUGAGCCUCCAGAUGAUUGUUUGACCGAUGAAAGCAAAGCUACAGGUACUGGUUCUAAAAAAGCUUGUCUGAAAGAUAAAAGUGAAGUCACUGCUGAUACUAAUUCUACAAAAUCGUGUCUGGAAGGUGAAAGCAGUACCCUGGAGCUGCAGCUCAUAAACACCUCUGCCUAUUACACCUACCUCUUACUCCUUCUCAUAAGCACAGUCUACUUUGUCAUCAUCACGUCCUGUGUGUUUAGGAGAACAGGCAUCUGCUGUGAUGGGAAGAUCUCGUGACAAAGAGGGCUACCGAGAGGUCAACGUUCCUUCAUCAUCUCCAGUCCCAGAAAUUCUCUGCUUGCUUUCUGUUUUGAGUGAGCUCAGUUCAGAUGUGUAUUUAUCUGUGACGUCAUCAUUGUCCCGCCCCCA